rnacentral:rRNA from 1 species
AGUCUGACGGAGCAACGCCGCGUGAACGAUGAAGGCUUUCGGGUCGUAAAGUUCUGUUGUCAGGGAAGAACAAGUACCGGAGUAACUGCCGGUACCUUGACGGUACCUGACCAGAAAGCCACGGCUAACUACGUGCCAGCAGCCGCGGUAAUACGUAGGUGGCAAGCGUUGUCCGGAAUUAUUGGGCGUAAAGCGCGCGCAGGCGGUUCCUUAAGUCUGAUGUGAAAGCCCCCGGCUCAACCGGGGAGGGUCAUUGGAAACUGGGGAACUUGAGUGCAGAAGAGGAGAGCGGAAUUCCACGUGUAGCGGUGAAAUGCGUAGAGAUGUGGAGGAACACCAGUGGCGAAGGCGGCUCUCUGGUCUGUAACUGACGCUGAGGCGCGAAAGCGUGGGGAGCGAACAGGAUUAGAUACCCUGGUAGUCCACGCCGUAAACGAUGAGUGCUAAGUGUUAGAGGGUUUCCGCCCUUUAGUGCUGCAGCAAACGCAUUAAGCACUCCGCCUGGGGAGUACGGCCGCAAGGCUGAAACUCAAAGGAAUUGACGGGGG